UCGCUCCUACCGAUUGGAUUGGCUGGUGAAGCGUUCGGAUUGUGGGUUCGGAGCGGUUCGCCGUUCUGGGCUUGCGAGAAGUUCGUUAAACCCUCCUAUCUAGAGGAAGGAG
rnacentral:rRNA from 1 species